UGGGGUGCAGCCCAGUGGUAGAGCACUUGCCUAGCAUGUGUUGGGCUCUGGGUUCAAUCCCCAGCACUGCAA
rnacentral:tRNA from 1 species